AACGAACGCUGGCGGCGUGCCUAACACAUGCAAGUCGAGCGCGAAUGGAGCAAUCCUAGUAGCGCGGCGCACGGGUGCGUAACACGUGGGUAAUCUGCCUGGGAGACCGGAAUAACCUGCCGAAAGGCUGGCUAAUACCGGAUAAGCCCACGGACUCUUCGGAGUCUGAGGGAAAAGGUGGCCUCUGUAUACAAGCUAUCACUUCCAGAUGAGCCCGCGGCCCAUCAGCUCGUUGGCGGGGUAAAGGCCCACCAAGGCAACGACGGGUAGCUGGUCUGAGAGGACGAUCAGCCACACUGGAACUGAGACACGGUCCAGACUCCUACGGGAGGCAGCAGUGGGGAAUUUUGCACAAUGGGCGAAAGCCUGACGCAGCGACGCCGCGUAAGGGAUGACGGCCU
rnacentral:rRNA from 1 species